rnacentral:rRNA from 1 species
AGUGAACGCUGGCGGUAGGCCUAACACAUGCAAGUCGAACGGCAGCACAGGAGAGCUUGCUCUCUGGGUGGCGAGUGGCGGACGGGUGAGGAAUACAUCGGAAUCUACUUUUUCGUGGGGGAUAACGUAGGGAAACUUACGCUAAUACCGCAUACGACCUACGGGUGAAAGCAGGGGAUCUUCGGACCUUGCGCGAUUGAAUGAGCCGAUGUCGGAUUAGCUAGUUGGCGGGGUAAAGGCCCACCAAGGCGACGAUCCGUAGCUGGUCUGAGAGGAUGAUCAGCCUCACUGGAACUGAGACACGGUCCAGACUCCUACGGGAGGCAGCAGUGGGGAAUAUUGGACAAUGGGCGCAAGCCUGAUCCAGCCAUACCGCGUGGGUGAAGAAGGCCUUCGGGUUGUAAGCCCUUUUGUUGGGAAAGAAAUCCAGCUGGUUAAUACCCGGUUGGAAUGACGGUACCCAAAGAAUAAGCACCGGCUAACUUCGUGCCAGCCGCCGCCGUAA